UUUUUUUUUGCUUAGAAAGAAACAAUGAAAACUCAGUGCCACAAAACAAGAACGUUCAAUGAUUGAGUCUAAAUUAAAAAUGAUUAAGACUAAGAGAAGGAACACUUUGCUGAAAGAAAAAUCUUUUCAAAUUGAAAAACAAAUCUUUUGAGUAGAAUAAAAAUUCAAGAGUCAAGGACUCUCUGUUGCCCUCAGGUCUUUUCAUCUUUAUAUUGAAUGGUACACGGAAUGUUUUUAUAUAUGUAUGUGUAACUGGGUCACCAUGCUAUACAGUAGAAAAUUGACAGAACACUGUAAACCAGCUAUAAUGGGGAAAAAUAAAAAUCAUUAUAUAAAAUAAUAAUAAUAAAAUGUAGUUACUUAAUACACAGGUUAGACUUUGGUACAAGCAUGGGUUGUACUCUUGGUAUGUAAUAAAUAGAUGGAUCAUACUUUAAGUACACAAAGCAUCUGAUCUUUCAAAUCCUAUCCACUAAGACCAGGGAUAUUUCUGUAAGGAAUUAAUUAACCCCUUCAUUUAUUUUUUUACAAAUUAUAUUUAUGUAUCUAUUUAUUUAUUGCCACACCUGCAGCAUAUGGCAUUUCUGGGCUAGGAGUCGAAUCAGAGCUGCAGCUCUUGGCCUGUGCCACAGCCACAGCAACAUGGGAUCCAAGCCCCAUCUGCAACUUACACCACAGCUUGCAGUAAUGCUGGAUCUUUAACCCACUGAGUGAGGCCAGGGAUCGAACCCUCAGCCAAUUCUUAACUGGCUGAGCCACAAUGGGAACUCCUAAUCUUUUCAUGUAUAACACUGUAUAAGCAAUGCUUUCAAAGCCAGAUUCCUCUGCAUUUUUCUGGGCUCUGGCCAUACAUCUUCAAUUCAUCAGAACUAUCACAGACACUCAAAUAAGUAUUAGAGACCUGAUAAAUAAGUAUAAGUAUAUAAAUAAGUAUAUACAGAGCCUUCAGCCCGAUACAUCUCCAACCAAAGACAAAGAUCACAGCCACUGUAUCCCAUCACUAUGUGGGACGGCAAGACUGCCUCGUGUAAAAACGGGUUGUCUACAUGUUAAAAAU
rnacentral:lncRNA from 1 species